CCCUUGUAAUAUUGUGGAUCAUGUGCCUUGAUGAAUACAGUUACAAAGAGAGAAAAACAAGGAGAAAAGUUAGUUUUCCGGGCAAUAAAAGAAUCAUAAAUUCUUAAGAAAAAUAAACAGUUAAAUUCAAAUAAGGAAGAAGGGUAUGGGAUAAAGCAUGCUUGGACUAAUUCAUAAGUUUGUAAUGGUAAGAGCCUAAAGAUGUCCCCAGUAGAGUCGCCUGUCCCGCCCCCUUUUUCCUAUGCGGGGAGAAGUCCGAGCUUCGACAUUCACGGUGUGUAAUGACUCAUUCCCUUUUGAGAAUUGAGUAUUUGAAGAGUUGCCAUGUAACGAAUUAAGGUGUAUUAGGGCACCUAGAUUAAUUAACUCUUGGAUUGGAUUGCAUUACCAGAGAUUAGGGUAAGGGCUUGAAGUAACCUCGAAGGGAAGGUGUUAGACACCACUCUUGGUCCACAACUGUGGGUCCCCGCCAAAUUUACAUUUACAAAUUGGUCCAUACAAAUAGUUGAAUCAAAUAUGUUGUUUGUAAAGCACAUUGAACAAUUCAAGUAGUGAAAUAAAGGUUCGAACAAGUUAUAUAAAAAAGGUUUAAAUAAGGAGAGGAUUUGGGAUAAGGAGGGGUCCUAGGUUGUUUAUCUGAUAGGAUCACCCCACAAUAAUGUCCGGUAAACACUCUUCAAUAAAGGAUACACAUGACAUUAUUGUGUAUUCAUCAUAUCCCAUGUCUACCCUUCCCAUCCCCUUAUUGGUCAUGAAAGCGAGUGUUUGGACACUGAUUCCUAUUGUGUGCUGCUACCCGUCCCUUUUUAGUAGUCCCGGAGGGUGUUAGGACCUCUACCUAUGGAUAGUUUUAGACGUACCCCUAAGGUUUAGAAAUGGGAAAACUCUAAGGAAACAGUCAAAAUACAUAGGACUUUUACAUAAUGGGAGAAAUUGAGAGGCUCACAGUUUCCUCCUCGAACAUACAUACAAGCAGCACAUCUCAAGCACAAUUAAGGUCUUUAUUAAUUGAAGUGCUAAAGCAGAAUCUUUAAGUGAAUAUGCCGACAUUGACAAAAAUUUAUGCCCAAAGUUAUAUCUUAGCUUUUUCCUAAAGGACUUAUUUUAAAAUUAUGAGGAUUAGAAACGUUAAAUGCCAUAAACAACUUCAGGGAAUGCAGUUUUUGAGAAUGCCCUAGGGCUUGUCUAUAUGCAGUAUAUUGUAUUUUACUAUAUUUAUGUUAAUGAAAGGUUUUUGAAAUAGACCCUUUUAAUACCUGUAGGCAAGAUAUCUAAUGAGAUUAAAGCGAUUUUAAAAGAACUGGUUUCAGGAAAUGUUGACACUUAAUAAGACCAGUUUUAAGAAGUAAACUAGGCAAAAUUAAAUUGAUUUAUUUGGAUAAUUAUAUUAUCAGACAUAAUUGCGAAUGGAAAUCCCUAUAGGAAAGGCAUCUAGUCAUAUUACAUGUUUUACUCAAUUUGCAGUAACAAAAGGAAAGACAUAUUAGAACUAAAUCGGAAUUGAGUCCUAUAGGCAUGAUAUCUAUACUUUAAUUUGAUUUAAGACAUGACGGUUUGGAACCUAGAAACAUGGUCUCUAACAUGUCAAAUGCAGAAUCUUAUGAACUUGGUUUCUAUCUGAAACAAACGACAUUGGAAGUGAAAAAUUAUAGGCAUGAUUUCUAUUUGAUGCAAACGAAAUUAGAGGUGAAAUCCUAUAGGCAUGAUUUCUAUUAUACAAAAUCAAUCAGAUUCAACAAUAGUAAAACCCUAUGAACAUGUUUUCUAUUGAGUAAAACAGGAAGAUUUGAAAAGUAAAAUCCUAAGAGUAGGAUUUCUACUCAUAUUACCCCCACAAAGUAUACUUCUACCUACCCUUUUCACUAAAUACUCCCAAGUAUUUGUUUAUAAAUUAUUACAAACUGAUAAUGAAUUACAUAAAUGAAAUAGAAAAUAAAGAAGCUAUUCUAUAAGGAGCCUGCAAUUAGGCCCAAGUUUCCCAAAGCGUCCAAUAGUCUUACAAGCUUCAUUUCCAUAGACAAAUCAAAGUCUAGGUACAUCAAAGUUCCCUAAGGGUCUCAAGGACCCCGGGCAAUGCUUAUACCUAGACUUAGUAACCGAGCAUUGAAACAUUACAGUGUGAAAAGGCCAGGCUCAGUAUGCCACAGUUCAGAGGGCUUUCAAGAGGAUCCCAAGGCAGUACAAAUACUAGAGCGGGCAGGACUUAUUAACUAAGAGUAAAGUGGAAGUGCAGGACACAAGUUUGCAAGAAUUAUUGAAGACUGUAUUGGAAAGCCUGUUUUGAAAGCACUUAGUAAAGCAACAAAGAAUGCUUGAAAGGAGGUUGGAGUAGUAAACAAGUUUAAACACCUUAGGAAGAGAUCACACAGCUAGUUUUCAGAAUUCAAUAGUCAUACAGGGGUCAAGGGGUUUGGUGAUACAUAAACAUUUGAAUGCAAACACAUGACCCCCAACAAUUGGUCUUAAGACUGGUUUACAUAUGCUCAAAGAUAGUUGACACAGGCAUAAUCACAACCAGUCAAGAAGAAUACAAAUACAUAGAAGGGUGAUAAGGAUUCGGGAUUCACAAAAAUUGUAAGUACACCGUAGGUAAAAGAUAAUUGUCCAGGCAUGCUUUGAAUUACAUAAUGGAAUACAUUGAUUUAAUGGAAAGGGGAGUCAUACUAGCAUGCUGAUAAUGUAACUUAACCAUAAAUUUCAUAACAGAACCACAAGUAGAAGCAAGCUAGAAAUAAAAGAAACUGAAACAAUAAGAGAAGGAUAUUGUUUUUAGAGCUUUAAAUUAAACUAGGAAUACUUGUAAAGAUAGAAGUAAGCAGAAUGAAAGAACCAAAGAGCACAGAUGAUUAGCCCCGGCUUGCUACCGACUAAUAGUAGCAAAUAACACAAGAAAUAGAGGAGAACAGAGAUUUUAAUAAGAGAGGAGCUUUGAAAACAAAUUGUCCGUCUUUUGUUAAUGAAAGAGUUAAGGUAUUUGAUUACCUUAAGUUAAAGGAAUCAAAUCAUACAGGGAGAUUCAAUAUCAUAUAAGGCAAGAAAAGAAUCAGUGCAUGACUAAUAAAGAAGGAGUCAAGGUUCAAUAAGCAUAGAGUAGUCAAUUAGGACCAAAUUCAUAAAUCCUUAAUUAAGGACACAACUCAGUAGAAAUAAGUAUCAUAGCAAAUAUGGUAAGGAACAUUAGUCAACUUAAACAGACGGGGUAAAACUUCUAGGGCUUUAAAAGAAAAUCUUUCAAUCUCCACCAACUAAGAAAAUCAAAAUCAAUCAAGACAGAGUCAUGAUUCUGCAUUUUCAACAUAUAAAUAAAGGAUAUGAACAUACGUAGCAAAGGGAAAGGUUAGCCAUAUUGACAGAAAGAAACAAGAGAUGAACAAACAAAGUGAGCAUAGUCACACAAAAGUGACAUAAGUCAGCUAGGAAUUUAGUAAAACACAUUCGAAGCAUGGUGACCACGACAGAUCAACAAGAAUCAAAUAAACAGGCUAACACAAGAACUAAGGCAAAGAGAAUCAUGCUGACACACUGAACCAAAGCAAGGAAAUCAUGCUAACUCACAUAACUAAAGCAAAGAAAAUCAUGCUAACACAUAGAACCAAAGCAAAGAAAAUAUUAAAAAAUAGGUCUUUAACAGAGUCAAGUUAAAAAGCAGUAGGAGCAUAAAAUCGGUCAAAUAAGCAAGGAAAAAGGUUUAAUCAUAAGGAAAUCGGUUAAAACAAGCACAGAAGGAUCUUCGAGAAACCCUAGUUUUCAAAGAAAGUAAAAACAGUUUAAAGUGGAGGAUCUUUCAGAAGAAGCCCGAGAAUAAGAAAAUCAUAGAAGGAAACAGACUUAAAGUGUAAAAAUAACAUAGAUCUGAGUGAUUCAAAAGAGAGUUAGAGUUUCAAAGGGAAACCCAAAUAGAAACUGAAAGAACCUGUUGCAGACUUCACCAAUCGUAACUUAUAAGGUGUGAUUUUGCCCAAAAUCACACUGGAGAAGCCAUGAGUAAUAGAAACGAAAACCCUAAGUCCAAAUCGGCAUGGCCCAGGACCCUUGAAGGUCUUAGAGAUGAUGAGCAAGGUGAUGAGAGAUUCAUUGGAGGCUUGGGUUGAAAGGAUUGUCGUCGUAGAUGACUGGAGAAAGAGACAAUUAACGGAGUCUAUGGUUAAGUUUGAUAGAGGAGAGAAGAUGAGAUCAUUUAAAGGCAG
rnacentral:lncRNA from 1 species